rnacentral:ncRNA from 1 species
AAGGUUUGGUCCUAGCCUUGAAGUCAAUUCUUAUUUAACAUACACAUGCAAGUUUCCGCACCCCUGUGAGAACGCCCUCUAGCUUCCUUUUAGGAAACAGGAGCUGAUAUCAGGCACACUUCCUUGCCCAUGACAUCUAGCCUCGCCACACCCACAAGGGACUUCAGCAGUGAUUAACAUUGAGUAUAAGCGACAGCUUGACUCAGUUAAACUAAUUAGAGCCGGCCAAUCUGGUGCCAGCCGCCGCGGUUACACCACUGUGGCUCAAAUUGACCUCCAUCGGCGUAAAGCGUGAUUUAAGUACACUAUUAUUUGGGGCUAAAUUAGAACUAAGCUGUAACACGCUUGUUCCCCUAGAAACUCUUAUACGAAAGUUGCCCCAACUUAUCCCACUUGAACUCACGACAACUGAGAAACAAACUGGGACUAGAUACCCCACUAUGCUCAGUAGUAAACUUUAAUAUACUCAUCCUCUCGCCUGGGAACUACGAGCCAAGCUUAAAACCCAAAGGACUUGACGGUACCCCAUAUCCCCCUAGAGGAGCCUGUCCUAUAAUCGAUAACCCCCGUUAAACCUCACCAUUUUUAGUUUCUCAGCCUGUAUACCUCCGUCGUCAGCUUACCCCGUGAGCGCUAGUGAGCUUAAUGUUUUUUCAACUAAACGUCAGGUCAAGGUGCAACACAUAAAAUGGGAAGAGAUGGGCUACACUUUCUACUCUAGACGACACGAAAGACUAUUUAUGCAACCUAGUCGGAAGGCGGAUUUAGAAGUAAAAUAGGACCAGAAAGCCUAUUUUAACCCGGCACUGGGGUGUGUACACACCGCCCGUCACCCUCCUCAAUGCUACAAUAAAGUCUAUAACACUUUUCAGCUGAACAGAAGAGGCAAGUCGUAACAUGGUAAGUAUACCGGAAGGUGUGCUUGGAAA